rnacentral:rRNA from 1 species
AUGGCUCAGGACGAACACUAGCGGCGGGCUUAAUACAUGCAAGUUAGGGGUUCAGCAAUGGACACCGGCGGACGGGUGCGUAACACGUAUGCAACCUGCCCUUUACUGGAGGAUACUCCGGAGAAAUUCGGCACAACACUCCAUAUACUCAUACUUUCGCAUGGGAGAAUGAGGAAAGGUUACGGUAAAGGAUGGGCAUGCGUCUGAUUAGCUAGUUGGCGAGGUAACGGCUCACCAAGGCGACGAUCAGUAGCUGGUCUGAGAGGAUGAUCAGCCACACUGGCACUGAGAUACGGGCCAGACUCCUACGGGAGGCAGCAGUAGGGAAUAUUGGUCAAUGGGCGAAAGCCUGAACCAGCCACGCCGCGUGCAGGAAGAAGGUCCUCUGGAUUGUAAACUGCUUUUGCCAAGGGAUAAAGAGAGGCUAUACGCCUAAAUGAAGGUACUUGGUGAAUAAGCCACGGCUAACUACGUG